rnacentral:rRNA from 1 species
UACGUAGGGGGCAAGCGUUGUCCGGAUUUACUGGGCGUAAAGAGCGUGUAGGCGGCCACGCAGGUCCGUUGUGAAAACUGGAGGCUCAACCUUCAGACGUCGACGGAAACCGUGUGGCUAGAGUCCGGAAGAGGAGAGUGGUAUUCCUGGUGUAGCGGUGAAAUGCGCAGAUAUCAGGAAGAACACCAAUGGCGAAGGCAGCUCUCUGGGACGGUACUGACGCUGAGACGCGAAAGCGUGGGGAGCGAACAGG